CCAGUCCUAUUCCCAGAGGUAGCUUCUCCAAGGUGGCUCCUGACAUAGGAAAUGGUAACUGCUACAGGUAAA
rnacentral:lncRNA from 1 species